ensembl:ncRNA T07F12.6 ncRNA
AGAAAAAAACGAAGAAAAGACUCGGGAGAAGCAGAGUAAGAGAAGAGGGGGGGGGGGGGGGGGGGUCGCGUCAGCAUGUAGACCCAGACCGCUCUCACUACGUCAUAGCUCAAAGUGAGAAUCGUGGGGGUGAAUGUUGAAGAGGG